rnacentral:misc_RNA from 1 species
GCCCGAACUAGCUCACCCUUAAGCUUUGCCCUCUCACGAAUAAGAGUAAGGGAAGCUUCUAUAACACGCUUUUGGCCCUUUUCUAUCAAUUCAAUUGGAACAUUUGCAGCACUUAGAUUGUGCAGGUAACGGAUUCCCAUCCUCCCAACAUUCCUCAUGUCUGUGAACAAAGAGAGAAACAGAGGAAUCACAGAGCUUGAGUGAGAGAAAUG